AAAUUGCACUUUGGAGCGUUGUAAUUUCACACAUGUAAAGCAAUAUCAAUUACGGAUAGCAUCCUCAAAGCACAGGAGUGAGAAAUUCGAGCCAUCAUGAUGUUUAUAUUACCGGGAGAAAUUUUUAUCUGCAGCAGUGCUUGACGCAGGUGGUGACGAUGGACACAUUCUGGCUUGGGUGCCUGAGAACACGUACACGACGCCGCAGGCGAUAUGCUUCGGCUGGAAUGACUGCCUGCGGCCCGGAGAAUCCAUUCGGAAUGAGCGUCUGACACCGUCUGUUCUCAUCGAAUAUGCGAGAUAUCAGACCGAGGUCUACACCAACGACACGGUGGCCGUGAUGUCCGGCUGUGACCUGUGCUUCACCGACGCCAACUACAGGUUCCUGAGGCAGGACGCCGUCCUGGCAAUGGCCAACCGGAUGUCGGCCGCCCAGAGGAAGCGGCCACGUGUGCACGUCGUGCACUCGACGCCCGCCUGCUACGUGGAGGCCUUGCAUUCCGCAUCUCGAGAAUGGCCUCGAUUUGAAGGAGACUUGCUGCCUUACACAGACCGGCCUGGCCGCACCUGGACUGGCUUCUACACGACCAGGCCCAAUUUGAAGAUGAUGGUGCGAUACGCCAACGGGUUUCUACAGGCAAG
rnacentral:lncRNA from 1 species